UCCGACAACAAUUUAGAGAGUCGAAAAAUGCUUUUGGAUCAUUCCCUUCUACCGUUUUGAUUGAUUUAUGACUUUCUCUUUUAACUGUUCCAUAUCAUCCCAUUCCAGUUCAAAACAACUCUACCCUGAGUUGUCAUCAGAAUACGAAAGGAUUAUAAUUAUAUGACACAUACUCAUAAAGAUCUGCAGCAAUAACGUCUUGAAAUUCUUCACGUGCUCAAGAAAAUUGAGGACCUUUGCAUUGUCAUUAAUUUUUUGCAAAAGGUCGAUGCUUCUUCCUAUCUAAUUUCUUUGAACUUUCUCCGCGCUAUGUCCUCAAGAUCACCAUAAUCAUAUCACCCAUCCGAAACGUGUUAUGAUGCCUAUGUGCAUCAGCAAUAGCUUUAUACUUUGCAUUGGAGGCUUUCAACUUUUUUUUCACCUGUUCAAUCAACUAUAAAGGUUGUUUAGCUAGUUGUUGAACUGCUACACUCUUUCUCAUAGUUGUUCACCUAAACUCUUUUACAUUGUAUGGAAACUCAUUGGUUGAAUUCGUAAAUCAGGAAAGUUUUAGAAGCUUU
rnacentral:lncRNA from 1 species